AUUGAACGCUGGCGGCAUGCCUUACACAUGCAAGUCGAACGGCAGCACGGGGCAACCUGGUGGCGAGUGGCGAACGGGUGAGUAAUGCAUCGGAACGUGCCAUUGAGUGGGGGAUAACGUAGCGAAAGUUGCGCUAAUACCGCAUAUUCUGUGAGCAGGAAAGCAGGGGACCGCAAGGCCUUGCGCUCUUUGAGCGGCCGAUGUCAGAUUAGCUAGUUGGUGAGGUAACGGCUUACCAAGGCGACGAUCUGUAGCGGGUCUGAGAGGAUGAUCCGCCACACUGGAACUGAGACACGGUCCAGACUCCUACGGGAGGCAGCAGUGGGGAAUUUUGGACAAUGGGCGCAAGCCUGAUCCAGCCAUGCCGCGUGAGUGAAGAAGGCCUCGGUUGGUUAA
rnacentral:rRNA from 1 species